rnacentral:rRNA from 1 species
GACGAACGCUGGCGGCGUGCUUAACACAUGCAAGUCGAACGGAAAGGCCUCUUUCGGGGGGUACUCGAGUGGCGAACGGGUGAGUAACACGUGAGUAACCUGCCCUUGACUUUGGGAUAACUUCAGGAAACUGGGGCUAAUACCGGAUAGGAGCUCCUGCUGCAUGGUGGGGGUUGGAAAGUUUCGGCGGUUGGGGAUGGACUCGCGGCUUAUCAGCUUGUUGGUGGGGUAGUGGCUUACCAAGGCUUUGACGGGUAGCCGGCCUGAGAGGGUGACCGGCCACAUUGGGACUGAGAUACGGCCCAGACUCCUACGGGAGGCAGCAGUGGGGAAGAUUGCACAAUGGGUGGAAGCCGGAUGCAGCAACGCCGUGUGCGGGAGGACGGCCUUAGGGUUGUAAACCGCUUUCGCUCAUGACGAAGCUUUGUGUGACGGUAGUGGGUAAAGAAGCACCGGCUAACUACGUG